CCUGGAAGUAGCUGUGUAUCAUGUGAAGGGAUCUGUCGGGCUCUGUCCAGGAACUGUACUUUCAGUGUCCUACCAUGGGUCUGAAAGCCUGUGGGUUGGAGUUCUUAAAAGAAAAGAAGUAGCAUGACUUUGCUGACACCCAGUGUGGACACCUCUGCAGUGGCAAACAAUGACAAAGGCAAAGGUGACUGUCCAACAGGGUCAACCUAAGUUUGGCAACUGGAUGGUGAAGACUCUACUUCCUCUGCUGCUGUGGUUUGGGAGCAGAGAGGUAUAAACACCUUGGCAGAUUUUGUGGCCUGUGUAGCUUAUAUAAUUGAAAGAUUUGCUUUAAAACCUAGUAAAAGUGUAAAGAAAGGAAAUAAAAAUGAUAAUCAAAUCGCCAUUGCAAGAACAACUGUCAGAUAAUCUCGCAAACUGUGAACUCCAUGAUUCUGUGUUGGACACCGUCAUAGCAAUUAAAGUGGAAUCAUAGCACUAUAACAGAAUGGUUUGAAAGGCCCAUAGACUUUGGGCAUCCCAGGCUUCCCUCAUUUCAGGACCCACAAAAUGGAUACAGCUUAUUUCCAUUAAUAACAGCUAUAAUUGUCAGUGAGAAAGCAUUUUCAUCCCCAGCACAGAAGACACAUACAGGGAAAUAUAAACCCCAUAACCUACUUAAUUCUUUCCCAGUAUCCAAGACAGUACAAAAGGGGAAGUGUAGAUAAACUCUUUCCCUCUCCAACCCCCCUCACAAAAAAACCCCGCUCCAUGCUGUCUGUGCCUCACUCUCCUUGAGUCUUCUUCGGUUUCUACUUUGUAUUUAAAUAAUGCAAAUUUGAAAGGGAAAGAAUUCCCCCCUUCCCGACUCCUUCUACCCACCCCCACUGUGAUGCCAUUGCAUAAUUAUAUGGGCUGGUUGAAAGAAUGAAACCCAGUUCAAAAUGUAUGAGUUCAUUUUUAUGUUCUACUGAGAAAAUUUAUUCAGUGUGACUGCUCAGUAGCGAGUGCAGUAAAACACCUUAAUCCCUGGUUGAAGAAAGGUAAUACCUUGACAGAUGUGUGCCUCCUACUUUCCUUGCGGCCAUGUUUCAACAACAAACCUUUAUUUCUGCUUCUUGGCUGUAGCAGGGAGGGAAAAAAUGAGCGGAGCAAUAAAGCAGUCAGAGAAAUCUCUGGAGCCAGGCAGCAAUGCAAUAGUAAUGACAGAUUUUUUAAUGUGGCAGGAGAGAUUGACAGGGAAAUGUCUUCAGAGCAAACGCACGCCAGAUGGAAUGAAAACGGUUUAUUGGAGUAUGGAGAUGCUACUGAACUGAAUAGAGGGCGGGUUUAAGGUGGGUGUUUUAUCUGAUUCAAGUAAACAACAACAGCCCCAUCAUGACCCUAAAUCCCUUCAUUUGGCCAUUGUGUAAACUAGUCUGUUAAAAUGACAAAUGGAAGUAGGGGAAAUAAGGGUCUUUUUUCAAACUUAGAAAAACUUUGCCAAAAAGAAAAACCUUUUAAAUUUUGAGCUGACCUGUGCUGUGCACACUAGAAGUGGAAAGUGGUGUGGAUCAAUUUUUUCCUCUUUCUCAAUCUUCAAAAACAGAAUUAAAUUAAUACUUGUUUCAGGCAGUUGUAAAAGUUUAUUAUCCUUUCUAAAAUGAAAAGGGUGGUAGUAAUACAGGGUUUGGAGUGGAAGGACAAAAUCAAACAAUAUGUAUAUUUACCAAAAGUAAAGAAUUUCUUUAUAUUAAAUAAAAUGCAGUCAGAAGUCUACCUUACAAGACAGGCUUUUAAAACAAAGCUGAUCUUUUGUGCUUCUUUCCAACUACUGUUAACCAACACCUGGAUUUUCUGCAGAAUGGUCUUAACAACCCACAUAAAGGUAAAGCACUGUAAUAUUUUAUAUGUUGUAAAAACCAUGAAAACAGAAAUGCGAGUGGUUGAGUGUAUGUCUGAGUGAUGUGUGUGUGCAUCUGAGAGAGAGACAGAGAGAGAGGAGGGGAGAUGGGAAGGUAAUUGUUUUAGUGAAUUUUAACACUUUGUGAUCAGUGGAGGCAAAUAAAGGGGAAAGGCAACAAAGAUGUGCCCUUUUGUUUUGUUUCCUGAAGACUGUCUUUCUCCCAAUAGUAGCUAGCCACAAUGAUGAUAAAUUCUCUUGUAUUUGACCCUGUCAAAGAAAUAGCAGGCACAUACUUUAGAUUUUGAGUAAUCACACCAUUUGGGAGGUGAAUGCUACCUUUGUUGUGGGGAGUUUUAUCCUGAUUCCUGAGAUUCAGAAAAUGUAGAACAUACACAAAAAAGUGGGGAGGGGGGAGUAUGUUGUAUGAAUCUGAAAGGCAGAAAUUAAAAAGAAAGAUUGAUGUAUAUGUGUAUGGCCUUUCUUAAUUUCUGAUUGCAUUAAAACUUUGCUUCUGUUCUUCCUAUGCCAUUUUCCCCUUUGCCUCAACAGCCCUGCAGAGCAAAGGUUCAAGUGAGUUUUCUGUUGUUACCAUUGGCGUGUGAGCUACAUAUGCUACAACACAGUCUGUGGAAAGGCAAUUCAGAACAAACUCAUCAGCAUUCAGAAAAUCAGAAUUCAUCUAUGGCUUAGAUAUGCACAGAGCUUAUUGACAAUGAUGGACCUGCUUGAAACAUGAGGGGGAAAGCUGUUGAUAUGCUGAGCAUCAUGAAGUCGAGAAGUAUCCAAGGACAGUGAGCUGAACAUCAUGCUAAGAUCUGGAUGUUGUGUCCUUCCAUCUGAACAUUAGCUACUGAGGCAACAGCCAUCAAACACGGGGCAGGCAGUGUUCUAAGUACCUGACAGCUUUGAGAAGGACUAACAACAUAAGAGAAAAUGCAAAAAUGUCUCUUAGAAAGGUGAGGAAUUAUAACACUGGGUUAUGUCAAAAGAAGCAGAAAGAUUCUUGUCUUUAUAGAUCUAUAUUUGGCAAGAAAAAGAGAAUAGAUAAUUAAAACAAUAAUUAUAAAAAAUUGAUAUGCUUGGGAAAAUAUGUUAAAAUAUUAUUUAUUUUUAAGUAUCAACAGUAUUCUAACAGUGUUAAAAUAGCUAGUUCCGAGAUGUGUAUAACGUUUAUUUAUUUUAGUUGGUGUUAUCUUUAUUCUACUGAAAGCUUAUUUGCUCUAAAAAAAAUCUCUCCUUUAUUGCUCAUUUCCCAAUAAAAUAAAGUUGCCCCAGGAAGAUAUUACUUUGGAGAUUUGACUAUAAAAGCCACUGAUAAUUGGACUUUUCUGACAUAUUAUAAUGUACCUUUGCCUUUUAAUGAAGCUUUUGCUACUCUUUUUUUUUGGGGGGGGGGGGUUAAUUACAAUAAUACAUACACGCCUUUCAAGAUUCCAAGUCUCCUAUUCCCAGUAUUCUUGUAGGGCUAGCAAGAAGACUGUCAAUUCACUUGUCACUAUAUUAAUGAGUCAAAGAAAAGCAGCCAGUCAGCAAUGAAUCAAUUGGAAAACUAUGAUGAAUGCUUCAAUAAUUAAGGGAAUAAUUAAAUUGCUGAAUGUAGGAUGGCUCUAAGUGAAACAGCUUUUGUAAUGGUGUCAUCUUGUUGUUUAUAAAAUACAAAAAAAGGAGCUGCCAUUUAAAUAAUGUCACGGACAUCCCGUUUAAACGUAUUGGCGUCUUUCAUUACUGAAUCUGGCAUUAUUCUUGCAUCCAAAGUUAAAACAGAGAUCCUUUUGCCUUUAACCAGGCAUAGAAUAAUAGCCUAUUGAUAGUAAAAGUUCUGUAAAUAUAGCUGAACUCCCUACUUGACAUCACACUCAAAGUUUCACAUACACAGCAGGAGAACAUCCCUUUACUUGACAACAGUUGUAUUUUUUGUGAAUACACUGGUGGUCUUUUGAAACACAAAUGCCAUCAAGUGUGAACAAUGGCCUCAUGUCCUCAAAACACAUCACAGCUCUUUGACAUGUGUCGCUAUCUAUUUAAGGUUCAUGCUUAUUGUUCAGAUUGUGUUUACAUGAAUGUCCAAAAGAAGCAAACAAAAGAUCAUACAUCCUUUGAAACACUGUGUUUCCAUUGUAUUAAUAUUAUCACAAGUACAUGAAUUGUACUGGUUGGGUAUCCAAGUUAAGACUGGUGCAUCUCCAACAUUCAGCCCAAUGGUGCCACUGCCUAUACCAGGGAUGGAGAUUUUAGGGCUCCCCAGAUGCUGUUGAACUGUAACUUCCACAUGUAGCCAAAGAUAAGAUAUGUUUCCAGUGCAUUUCAAUAGCAACUAGAAAUAUGCACAGUCCUCUCCCUGGCCUAUAUCAAGGGGAUUGUGAGUUUUGCAGGGCAUAUAUUCACUUUCACUGAUAAGUAGAAAUCCUACUGAAGAGUUAAAAGCUUCAUUCAUGCACUACUGACCAUAAUCCUUCAGCGGAACCAUGUGGGGAAUAUGUUCAUGUUUCAUUUGUUUAAAUGAAAACUGAGUUCUUUUUCCAGGGAACAAACUCAUACCUAUGGGAAACCCAAAGCAGUGCUGUAUGUAAACCUAGAGUUUCUAAAUGUUACCUUGCCAGAAUUACAAAGAUAUGUGCAUCUGGAGGGGUGGCCAAAUCUGUCAGCUCUGUUGUGCCCUGGAUUGGAUUUUUUUGUUAAAGAAAUCAAGUCCUUUCCAUCUUGUAUAAGAAGAAAAAAUUGACAGAACUUACCAAAACAUGAGCAGAACAAAAUGUUCAGCUAUAUACAUCAAGUACCUUUCAUAUGGACUGCUGAAGGUGGUCAUGUUUCACUUCUAUGUUAUGUUCAUGUCCAAAAUGAGAAGUUUAUAAAGGAAAAGAAGAAGAAGCUCUCGCUCAGCAACAAACAUAACAAAGGGAUUUAAAAUCAAAGUUUUAAGAGCUAAGGCCUCAAACUCUCUGUCUGGAUAGACUAAUUUGUCAGUUUUACAUGCCUUUUCUUUAAAAAGACGUUUUCAAAAAAUGUGUGGUUAUCAGUGAGUAUUUUUUUUUCAAAACCGAACUAUUUUGGAUGAAAUACACUAUUUUCUGAGGGUAUGUCUUGUUUUUCACAAAAAAGCUUUUAAAAUGUUUAUUCAAAUGUCUCACCAAAAUCCCAGUAUUGGAUACAAGAAUGAAUUAAACAAAAGAUUUCUAUUCCUAUAGGUCUUAAUGUCAUAUUCCUACAGAAGGGCAUGGUGUAAUUCCAUUUUUGGAGAAAAACACUUCAGCCUAAAUGCUGACAAGAAAUCAAAAUACUGUUAGACGCAUAGUGAUAGACUGAGGAUUAACAUGUCUUUGUUAUGUAUGUUGUUACUUGAUUUUAUCAUGGUUUUCUACUUUGAAUGCUAUUUAGUAGCACCAUCACCAACUCUAUGAGAUCCAUGUUGGGUUGAAAUCAUCCAGCGCAUUUCAGACCAUCAAGGGAAGACAAUGAUUUUUAUGAAAUAUCCUGGAGAAUUGGGAAAUAUUAAUAUGUAUGAGAGAUGAUUAAAAUUGCAUCUACACUGUAAAAUUAAUGCAGUUUGACACCACUUUAAUUGCCAUGAAUCAAUGUUAUCAACAUUUAUAAUAAAACAUAGAUGCAUUGAU